AGCAGCCGCGGUAAUUCCAGCUCCAAUAGCGUAUAUUAAAGUUGCUGCAGUUAAAAAGCUCGUAGUUGAAUUUCGGGAUCAAUAUGUUGGUCGUGCCUCGGUACGUACUAGCUUAUUGGUUUCUCCCUUCUGACGAACCAUGAUGUCAUUUAUUUGGUGUUAUGGGAAAUCAGGACUGUUACUUUGAAAAAAUUAGAGUGUUUAAAGCAGGCUCACGCUUGAAUACAUUAGCAUGGAAUAAUGAAAUAGGACGUUUGAUUCUAUUUUGUUGGUUUCUAGGAUCGACGUAAUGAUUAAUAGGGAUAGUUGGGGGCAUUAGUAUUCAAUUGUCAGAGGUGAAAUUCUUGGAUUUAUUGAAGACUAACUACUGCGAAAGCAUUUGCCAAGGAUGUUUUCAUUAAUCAAGAACGAAAGUUAGGGGAUCGAAGACGAUCAGAUACCGUCGUAGUCUUAACCAUAAACUAUGCCGACUAGGGAUCGGAUGAUGUUAAUUUUUUAAUAACUCAUUCGGCGCCUUACG
rnacentral:misc_RNA from 1 species